UGUCAAUGCUGUGUUAUCAUCUUUGAACACAGCGAGCCUUGUUCUGUGUAACGCUUUGAACACGCUGAGGACCUUAACGUGGAGGGAUACAUGACGGAAUUGUAAUUAUAGUCAGUGCUUUUGUUCUGCAAAUGGUCAACUUUAGUGAAGGACAUUGAAAUAAGCCAGAUGACAUUUUACGUUAUGCUGUUAGAAAGCAGGGUACAUGUUUUGACAAAACAAAAUCGUUUUAAGGUCACACGCCCAUGCAAAAUAUGGUCGGCAGAAAAUCGUGUAGUUAAACCAAAGUAUGAUGAAUGUGAAUGUGAGAGUUUCUUAACUCACCUUCAGACGGCUACCCAUGUUUACUUAUUUAGAUCACUUCCGUGUUGCAAAUCGAAACUACAGAACAGCCAAUCAGUGAACACGACUGAAAAGACUCCCAUGUAUCAACCAAUGGCAGUCCUCUUACUUAGUCACUUGUCUAGGCGGCUCUUCCUUCUAGGACCAAAAUAAGUGAGCAGUAGUGACAUUUAAGUAUCGAAUUCUGUCAAAAUUGGAUGACGCUAUUCAAUAUUUAUAUAUUUUCUUAAACCACAAAGCUUUAUUUAACCUAUGUUGAAGAUAAUUUUGAACUACAGCCAAUUCUUUCUCGCAUUUCUACAGGAAAUCCAUUCUAGUGGACUGUUGCUGAACAACACUCAUUAGGGUCAUUAGACCAUGCCUGUUAUAUUGGAGAGGUGUUAUCACGAUACAUUGCCUUGAUGUGUAUUUUAGAUUGUUACAAACCAACUGAGUUGAUUUUGCUGGCAGGCUUGAAGCUGUCGCUCACACGCGCAUGGAGCGCCACAGGUUAGAAGGUCGGUUCUCUUUGUUAUCAAAAUGCAUUUCCAUGAUGAAACUAUUCUAUAAUGUUUGCAUUUUCCACUAAGAAUAAAACGAGUGUCAUCCACCACCUAUCCUGUCGUUAAGGUUGGAGAACACAUUUAUCUGAUCUACGUCCCAUGCAAGAGGUGCAUGAUCUGAUAUAGUAAUUGGGCACAUAAUACAAAUUUAAAUCGAUACCUUUAGGGAAUGUAGUUUCCAAACAUCCUAUAUUGAUAGGUGUUAAAGAAUUUUAAACAUUCUAGAAGUGGGGGUUUUGGAAGUAGGUUGCCUAGCUGAGACAUAACAGUUAAAAAACCCUCCUAGCAGUCGAAUACCUGUGCUUUGUUGUGUUAAUUUUUUUUCUUAUGAAGCCAGAUCCAUCCUCAUUUGGGACAUAAGUUAUAUCUCCAUUUCCCAGAACAAAUCUGUCUUUGUGAUCUUUGACGUCAAAUUGAAUACAUUUUGAAAUUGAUGUAUCUUUAGAUACUACUAUCUUUUUGGCUAAUUGAUGUGGUGUUUUAGUUGCUCCUGUUCUAUUUUCGAUAGAAGGGUCUCCUGCAAAAAUGCUAUCUGACCGUUUAUAUUUGCUAUCUCUUUUUAACUGAUUUAGGAUUUUCUUCUUCUUCAUAUAGUCAAUAGCAUGAUCAGCUGUAUUUCAUGCUUUAGAAAUCUACCAAAAGGGCAGCACAGUAUCUGUGAGAGAAAUGCUGUAUGAGAAUAUCUUUUCUGGUUGACUGUUCUGUGUGAGCCAAUUCUCAAUUGAUUUUAGACAGCGAAUACAAGAAAUAAAAUGGAUUUGUGAUAUAAGUAAGCUGUAAAUAAAAUAAACGUAUACUGAUAAGAAAUGGCAAUACACAUCACCAUGUAUUUGUGUAUUUCAAUUUCAAUAAAAACCCAGUGACACAAUAAAACCCAGUGAAUAUAGACACUGCCUUCAUUAUUUGAUAAACCUUGUAAAUAUAAUAUCCACCAAAACGUAGUACAUAAUUGACUUGUAUUUUAAACACUCCCAAAAAUAGACUUGGUACAUUGACCUAGUUGUAACAGUUUCCCAGAACCCUG